rnacentral:rRNA from 1 species
UACGGGGGGGCAAGGCGUUGUUCGGAAUUACUGGGCGUAAAGGGCGCGUAGGCGGCCUUCUAAGUCAGACGUGAAAUCCCUCGGCUCAACCGGAGGAACUGCGUCUGAUACUGGAAGGCUUGAAUCCGGGAGAGGGAUGUGGAAUUCAGGUGUAGCGGUGAAAUGCGUAGAUAUCUGGAGGAACACCGGUGGCGAAGGCGGCUCACUGGACCGGCAUUGGACGCUGAGGUGCGAAAGCGGAUGGGGAGCAAACAGGG